rnacentral:rRNA from 1 species
CAUGUAGGCGGCAUGACAAGUCUGGUGUUAAAUGCGACGGCUUAACCGUCAGAAUGCACUGGAAACUGUCAAGCUAGAGUUUUGGAGGGGGAGUUGGAAUUCCUGGUGUAGGGGUGAAAUCUGUAGAUAUCAGGAAGAACACCGGUGGCGAAGGCGAACUCCUGGCCAUGAACUGACGCUAAUAUGCGAAAGCGUGGGGAGCGAACAGGAUUAGAUACCCUGGUAGUCC